rnacentral:snRNA from 1 species
GUGCUCGAUUUGGCAGCACAUAUGCUAAAAUUGGAACGAUACAGAGAAGAUUAGCAGGGCCCCUGCACAAUGAUGACAUGCAAAUUCGUGAAGUGUUCCAUACUUUU